GAAUGUUAUUUUUCUGUUAUUCGAUGGGUAGUAAUAGGACUGUAUAUGGUUCUGAUAGUAGUGCGUUAUAUUGAUUUCAAGGUUGCACUGUGGGAUUUAGAACCCUGUGUUAUACCGGGAACUAGGCGUUAAUUUUCAUAUUAGGCUAAAAACAAGAUAUAUUAGAUAAUUUGAUCUGUCACAGAUAUGUAUUGUGAAUAGAAUAAUGAAUACUUGCCAGUAUGGUUUCUGCUUCUCAGAUCCGCAAUAACAAAAUUAUGAAAAUGUACACUACAUUAUAACAAUGAAACUUCCUUAAUGAAGCUUGAAAAAGACAACAUUGUAUACCCUGCGCAAAUGUUUGCUUCAAUGCAGUUUUCAUAAAUAUCGUGAAAUCAGACAUCAGUGUAGCGGCACUACAGAAGCAUCAGAUUCCACCCGUCUAUUUUGACCUCCGCCACACCAGUACGGCGGAAACUGCUAGUUCCAACGAAUACAAUAUGGCAACAUGACGUCACUACCUACAAACGCGAGCAAAAAUAAAAAUGAGAAUGUCUCGCUCCAAAAGUAAAAUGAAACUAACGGGACAACCGCGGAAGAUAGGGGUUUAGGGCGGGGACAAGCUAAAUAUACAAGAAUAAAGAAACACUGAACCACCCUAAAAUAAAUAAUGUAACAAAUUACGUUAACAACUUUGCGCCAUAUCAAGAAAACCAUAGGAAUCGGACGUUUCUCUUUAUCUGUAUAGCUCAGCCGCAACUAUCGAUACCAAAAACCCCAACAUCUAAAAGCCUGAAAAGUGGAAUCUGGCAUUUCCCUUGACCUGUAUAGAUCAACUGCAACAAUUGAUACCAAAACCCAACACCUACAUAUCAGAAAAGUGGAACCAAAACCCCAACACUCAAAAACCCAAAUACUACAUAUUCAUUACAUGAAUUAAAACACAACUGACCUAUCAUAAAUGUACAGCAGACAAAACACCACAUUUACUGUAGAAUUCUUUCUGCACAACAAACACGAACGAAUCAGAGCAAACAAAAACGUCAAACAUAUAAGCAAAAGAAGGGGAAAAAAAGAAACUGUAGCAACUUGCUGAAAACAUUUCCACAACCCACAUUACUUCACUAACUACCUAAACUCAAAACCAUGUUAGCGCAAUGAUUACCAAACUCAAAUGAACCCAGUACCAUAUUAAACUCAGCAUGUCCACAUCCACCGUAAAGUACACCACCACCACCACCACCACCCUACAAACAUAACCAACUCAAAACCAAGUCAUAGUGGCGUCACACACCUCAUCAUCUUUACGGCACGGGACAAACCAGAUGGGUGGAAUCAGAUGCUUCUAUUGACCCUAGCAGAUCACCAGAUGAAAAUAAUCCUUUUGACCUUUAGCAAGAGUUCAAGCCUCAUAAAAAUCAGAAAUGUGUUGACAGGUUAGUUGAACAUACGAACACAAAAUACUGUCAUUGAGCCAGGAUGUAAUAAUGUUAUAGUGUGUGACAUCAUGUGUGUGCUAAUUAGAAGAGAAUAUUAUUUUUUGGAAUACUGGUUGUGGUUACAGGCUGAUAUGUUGCAUAGCCCAAGUUCUAGGUUAGGUUGAGAGUUGACAGUUUCAUUGUGAGCUGCAGGAAUAUCAAAAUUCUGUUCUGACAAUGAACACAAGAAGUAUACUAAAGCUAAAAGACCAAGAUUCUACAGGUUGAGAUGGGAUACUCAUAAAGGCAGCAUGGGAUUCCCCCUGGCUAGUAACUCCCUAUCUUCAGGUUUUCGCAUGAUCCAUGAGCUCAUUGUACCUAAGGAUGUCCCAUUUAUGGAGACGCACCAUCAAAAUUUAUGUUGGGCAAUGGUCAGGAGCUCCCUCCUGUGUUGGCAAUAAACCAAGUGAAGUGAUCACAGUGUCACUGUUGAAAAUUGGUUUUCUGAUAUGGAUAUCAUAAAUUAUUUGAAAGCUAAGAAUUUGUUGUAUGUUGGAACUCUCAGAAAAAAUAAGAUGCAAUUGACAUCAGAUUUUAUGGAUGUAAAAGAGUAGGAACAAUACAGAAGUAUGUUUUGCUUCAGUAAUGGGAAGUUUGAUUUUUGCCCAUACCGUGAGAGAACAGGAAUGUGAUUCUUGUAGCUUUGCUUGAUAAGGUGAUGCUGUGGAUCCCAGAUCUGGAGAGAAAAGGAAGCCAGAGAUAGUCAUUUUCUAAAA